rfam:Takifugu rubripes chromosome, Chr_4
GCUGUGAUGGCCGAGUGGUUAAGGCGUUGGAUUCGAAAUCCAAUGGGGUUUCCCUUCGUAGGUUCAAAUCCUACUCACAGCG